rnacentral:rRNA from 1 species
UACGGGGGGGGCAAGCGUUGUUCGGAAUUACUGGGCGUAAAGGGCUCGUAGGUGGCCAACUAAGUCAGACGUGAAAUCCCUCAGCUUAACUGGGGAACUGCGUCUGAUACUGGAUGGCUUGAGUUUGGGAGAGGGAUGCGGAAUUCCAGGUGUAGCGGUGAAAUGCGUAGAUAUCUGGAGGAACACCGGUGGCGAAGGCGGCGCGCUGGACCUCUUCUGACGCUGAGGCGCGAAAGCCAGGGGAGCAAACGGG